UUCCCAACUUCGGUUAUAAGAUCCCUCAGAGAUGAUGAGGUUAAUAGGUUCGAGGUGGAAGCGUGGUGACACGUGGAGCUGACGAAUACUAAUCGAUCGAAGACUUAAUCAAUUU
rnacentral:rRNA from 1 species